CACUGCAUCCUCAUCCAAUAAGCACUUUCAUAGCUGCGAAACAUGGAAAGUGCUGUGAAUAUGACUGAGCUCCUCAGGUAGAUCCAACUUGUAAGUAACCUUGCCAACCCUAGCAAUCACUCGUAAAGGUCCAAUAUACAUAGGACACAACUUAACCCUCUUCCUGAAGCAUAUCACACCUUUCUAAGGUGAGGCCUUUAGUAAUACCAUAUCACUGACCUGAAACUCCAACUUGGAUCGGCGCCGGACGACAUAGCUUUUCUGCCAGCUCUGAGCUGUCUAUAGUCUCUUCCUAAUCUGCUGAAUAAGUUUUGUGGUCUGAAGGACUACUUCGGUCCUUCCCAUAACCCUGUGACAAACCUCUCCCCAGCAAACCGGGGUACGACAUCUCCACCCAUACAAGAGCUCAAAUGGAAGAGCACCAAUGUUGGAGUGAUAACUAUUGUUGUAGGAGAACUCCACAAGAGGUAAGUAGGAAUCCCAACUCCCACCAACAUUUCGGCUGAAGAGCUCUCCUGAAUAGCCAAAAAGUAGGCACUAUUGGUCAAUCGAUAUAUAGCAUCAAAACCCUUCGUUAUCUUUGGCAACUUGGUGAAAAAAUCCGUAGUGAUCUGCUCCCAUUUCCACAUGGGAACCUUCAGAGGCUGCAACUUGCCAUGCAGCCUCUGAUGCUCGGCCUUGACCAACAUGCAAGUCAAGCACCUCUUAACAUACCAAGCGAUUUCCCUCUUCAUACACGGGCACCAAUAACUCAAUCUCAAAUCCCAAUACAUCUUGGUGUCCCCUAGGUGAAUAGAAAAAUGAGACUUAUGAGCCUCCUCCAACACAAUCUGCCUGAUCCCACCCGAAACUGGAACCCAAACCUGACCACACCGGGUCAGCAACCCUCGAUUGUCCGUGACAAACCGGUCGAUCUCAACCAUAAUCCUCUCCUGUUUCAAGUUCUCCUUCUAAACUCCCCCAGCUUGAGCCUCCCUAAUCAAACCCAAAAGUGGAGAAUCAACAGAUAUCUUCAUACGCAUUUCCCCGAUCAAAGAUCCAACCGACUUGCAUCUUAAAGCAUCCGCUACCACAUUCGCUUUACCCGGAUGGUAAGGAUCUCGCAAUUGUAAUCCUUGACCACGUCCAGCCACCUACGCUGCCUCAUGUUUAGGUUUGGCUGAUCCAUAAGAUGUCUCAAACUCUUAUGAUUCGUGUAAACCGUACAACAGACCCCAUAAAGAUAAUGUCUCCAAAUCUNNNNNNNNNNNNNNNNNNNNNNNNNNNNNNNNNNNNNNNNNNNNNNNNNNNNNNNNNNNNNNNNNNNNNNNNNNNNNNNNNNNNNNNNNNNNNNNNNNNNAGGGAUCUUGGAGUCGUUCCAUCUAUUAAGGAACCAAUGGAAAUCUUUUGUGAUAACGAAGUUGUAGUUUCUUUAACCAAAGAACCACAAGAUUAUUUAAGGUCCAAGCACAUUGACAGGAAAUAUCAUUACAUCAGACAUAGAGUUGAUGAUGGGCAUCUCCUACUGAAACGAGCAUCAUCAAAAGAUAAUCAUGCAAAUCCUUUCACAAAGGCUCUGAGAAAGGUUAAGCACAUAGAGCAUGCUAGGAGCACUGGUUUGAGAGACGAAAUUAGUUUAGUAAUUUGUUGAUAGGUUGAGGCUUUUAAAAUUUUAAACAAAAUAAAUUGUAAUUGUUUUCGGUGAUCAAAUAAUGGAGAUUUAUUUAUGAGUAUUUGAGACGCCUUCUUCAAUUAUUCAGUAUUGUGUUUCAUUUUUGCAUGUUUAAUAUCCUGAAUAAUUUUGUUAUUAUUCAAAUUUCGCAGUUGUUCAUACUUUUGGAAGUAAGUAGUGAAUUAAGACUGUCAUGAAUUGAUUGUAGAUUGUUUAUGGUGAUUAUGUAUUACAUGGGGAUUGCUAUAAUGUUCAAGAGUACUUGGAAAAUGGGGAUUUUGAGUAUCGAAUAAACCCAUGCUUGGAGAUUACUUCAUGGAUUUUAUCAUGAGUAGUUCUUAGACGAUAAUAUCUUCUAUUCUUAAAGUAGACAUAUAUAGUUCAUAGUUUACGAUUCAGUUGUGCAUUGGUUUACCCAAACACAUCUCAUAACUGGAUGUUAUAAAGAGUAAUUCCAUGCAUGAUUUGGUAAAAGUGUAUGCCCAUAUAGUCAAAGUAAUUCAUACCUUUUACCCUAACACAAAAAGUGAUAUCUUUGGGCCCCUCGAUGAUUUGAUGUUGACAUUAUAGUGGUGGGCCCAACUAAUACUUGAUUGAUGUGUUCAAUAGGUAGCCUGAUGACGUCAUCGUAAAUUAGAAAAUAGAGAAAUGAAAUCUUGGACAAUGAGAUUCAUUAUAAUCCAUGUCUCAUAUCCAUACGAUAUCUUAAAGAAUAAAGGAGUAGUUGAUCGUUUAUCUUAGGACCAAUGUAUCAUUUGAACCAUAAUUCAGUAGUAGAUUUUGAAAACACUCUUUGUUGUUUAGUUCAANNNNNNNNNNNNNNNNNNNNNNNNNNNNNNNNNNNNNNNNNNNNNNNNNNNNNNNNNNNNNNNNNNNNNNNNNNNNNNNNNNNNNNNNNNNNNNNNNNNNAUGGCCUCAUUUCACCCAUCUUAACUGCCUCCAUCCCUCUCAUACGUUUUUGCAACCCUAGUUUCUCCUGUAGGAGCCUUUUAAGCUUAAAAGUGUGUUUUUGGAGACUUAGAAGAAUAAGGAAGAAAGUCAAGCUCAUCUUGAAGGAGUGGAACACUUAGAUCUGGGAUUGCUACUCCAUUUUCAACCAUUCUAAGGUAUAAAGCUUGCAACUUUAUCCCUCUAGCAUAUAGAUCUAGAUUUGGAUGUCUUUAUGAAGAUUUUUGGUCCCAAAAUGUUAGAUCUUGAAUAUGGCAUGUUCUUGACCUUUGAGUUGUCCUUUCAUACCCUAGGAGGGGUCUUAAGUCAUAAAAAUGGGUUCCAAAUGGCUAGUAUUGCUUCAAGCAUCAUUUAGAAGAUCUUAAUGGAAUAAGACCCUGUGUUAAGCACUUAAUGGACAUGUUAGGUCAUAAAGUUCAAGACUUUAUGACUUCUAGGAGGAUUUUAGCCAUGGAUUUGAAUUAUGGACGUAAGAGCUUAAGCCAUUAAGCUCCUAAAUGGAUUUUGGGGCUUGUGGGGUUACGCCCCACGUACCUCCGGAGUACGCCCUACGUUCGCACCCUGAAUUGACUCGGACGAGUUGACUUGGCUGGGUUGAUCCUGUUGACCUAGCUGGUUUGACCAGGUUACCUUGACUAAGUUUGAACUUUAGGGUAUUUUGGGUAUUUUGGGAUUUUGAUGGAAAUUGGUCAUUGGUGGGAAUAGGUGUCGGUUAGAGAGUUGAAAUUCAGAGUCGGGACCACAUCCUCUUCUAUUUAGUUUGUGAGGUGAGUUUUCCUCACUGUAUUUGUGAUUCGAAGGCACCAAGGCCGUCCCUUUGGACUCGAUAUCCUGUUAUGCAUGCUAUUGUAUUGUAGUGAUUUGUUAAAUUCAGUAUCCUGGUAUGUAGGAUGAUGCUAUGCUUAGUCAUGUGUAGAUCGGUCUGACUGUCUGUAGACUGUUAUAUGAUUAUCUGUUAUAUAUGCACAUGUUUGGUUGGUGGUUGAGGCUUUAAUGCUUUGUGCGUGAGCCAACAGACCGGGGGCAUUCCAACCCGCUAGNGUGGGCACGAGGGUAUUCCACCCCGAGGAUGACAGGACCCGUUGUGUAUUGGCAUUCUAACCCGAUGGUUGAGGGGCCUGGGGUAUUCCAAACAGAUGGUUGACUGGACCCAUAGUGUAUUGGCAUUCCAACCCGAUGGUUGUGGGCCUGGGGUAUUCCAACCCAAUUGUUGUUUGGACCCGACAUGUUGUUAUCGUAUAUGUUAUUUGUUUGUGUGUUGGUACUUUGGGGGAUCUCACUAAGCGUUGGCUUAUAGUUUUGGGUUAUGUUUUAGGUACUUCAGAUGACCACGGGAAGGCAAAGUCGUGGUCGUACACCUCCUCAUGUUUUGUCUUUUGAUUUUGGGAGACUCUUAUGCUAAUUUUUUUUAAAAAAAAAAAACUAUGUUUGUAAACAAUAUGUGAAUUUAGGUUGUUUUUAAAAAAGUUCAAAUUUAUCAUGAUUUUUAUGGAAGUUACAUGAUAGGGGAUGUCUCAGCUCCAAAUUGAGUACUUAGGUCAGACGUCCUCCAUCCAAUUCUAUGUGAAUCUACACAUAGGAUACUUUAAAAAAUACCACAUUUCCAAAUGGAAAAAAAUUCUCAAACAAAUUUUGUGAAUAAUACAAUUACUUAUAGUAAUCAUAUAGCAAGUAAUAACUAUACCAUGUGUAUCAUAUCAAACUCCAAAUAAGAAAUUACAUUUAGGGACAUGCAAUCUCAAUAUAAGUCACCUAAAUAUAAUGUUAUGUUUUCUGCUUCUUCAAAGGCUAUAAAGCUUCCUAAUUACCACAUGAUUAAUAUAAGUAGGUAGUUAGAAAACAAUAAAAAUACCCCUAUGAAGGCCCUUGACUUCCUUAGCCUCAUUUUAUGAUUAAUACCCUUAUUAUAACUCUAUAUGGAAGCAUUGGGGGAAAAUGGAGAUCAAAAAAUAAGAAAAAAAAAUUUGGGUAAACAUUCCAUUAUACGACCCAUGUAAUAUUGGCACUGCAAAUUAGAUAGUUGUGUAGUGCCCAACACAUAUAAAGUGAAUUUUUUUUCCACUUUCAGCUUUUUACUUUGGUGUAUUUGCUUCUAACUCAUCCGUAGACAUUAAUGAUGAUUUCCAUAGAUGAAAUAAUCUUAUCAACUUAUUUUACUAUGUUUUCAUUUCUUGAUUUAUACAUCAUUGAAUGAUUAAAGGACUUAAUGCCUCAAAAUUUAUCUAAACUCAUAUAAAUACAUUAAACCUACCAUCCACACCACAAGUUUAUUUGAUUUUCUAGUUUUACUUAAUUUUUUCUUAAUUUAGUUCUCUCUGACCAUUUGAUAUCCAUUAUGUGAUUUAAACCUUUUGAACUCAAAUUACACAAUGAAACUUGGUUUAAAUAUGAUAAUCUGGUAAAAUAAGCAUAAAAGAGCUUGAUUAUGUUUCAAUUUCACUUUAAACAUUAAUAUACGUAGAUCAUCAUCCAAUAAGUUUCAAUUUAACUUGGUGAUUUAAAUUUAUAGAAAUUUGGAUUUCCACUACUGUUAGGGAUUUGAAGCUCUAAAAAUAACAUUAUGUUCAAAACCAAGAAUCAUUGACAAUAUGAAAGUAAACUAGCAACUUAGUGGACAAAAAUAAACAAAAAAAAAUUAAACAAACACUUUCAUGUAGUUUGAUUUUUAGGAUNNNNNNNNNNNNNNNNNNNNNNNNNNNNNNNNNNNNNNNNNNNNNNNNNNNNNNNNNNNNNNNNNNNNNNNNNNNNNNNNNNNNNNNNNNNNNNNNNNNNGAUGAGCUUGACUUUCUUCCUUAUUCUUCUAAGUCUCCAAAAACAUACUUUUAAGCUUAAAAGGCUCCUACAGGAGAAACUAGGGUUGCAAAAAUGUAUGAGAGGGAUGGAGGCAGUUAAGAUGGGUGAAAUGNGGUCAAGAACAUGCCAUAUUCAAGAUCUAACAUUUUGGGACCAAAAAUCUUCAUAAAGACAUCCAAAUCUAGAUCUAUAUGCUAGAGGGAUAAAGUUGCAAGCUUUAUACCUUAGAAUGGUUGAAAAUGGAGUAGCAAUCCCAGAUCUAAGUGUUCCACUCCUUCAAGAUGAGCUUGACUUUCUUCCUUAUUCUUCUAAGUCUCCAAAAACAUACUUUUAAGCUUAAAAGGCUCCUACAGGAGAAACUAGGGUUGCAAAAAUGUAUGAGAGGGAUGGAGGCAGUUAAGAUGGGUGAAAUGAGGCCAUAAGAGUGCAUAAAUACGAGACACACCCUAAAAACUAGGGUUUCCUUAAAUGGAAAGUACGCCCAGUGUACACUGGGGUAUGCCCAACAUACUAGGGCGUGCCCUAGUACGCUCAGUGUACACCACGUACGCAUGGCGUACUCCGAAGGCCAUAAUUACAACAAUGCCAUUAGGGAUCCUUUGCACAAUUUCUUGAACUUAGGGACCAAAAUGCAACUUAAUGAAAUUAUAGGAUAGGAAUUUGAAGUACCUUUUCAUCAAGAUCUUACAACUCUCCCCUACUUGGGUUAGAAUUCGUCCUUGAAGUCUGCUGCGAACAAUAACUUAGGAUAAUGCUUCCGUAUCUCAGCUUCUGGCUCCCAGGUCUACUCAGAGCCUCUCUGAUGUUGUUAAUGUACCUUUACCAAAGGUACCUCCUUGUUGCGCAGGACCUUUAUCUUUCUCUUCAAAAUAGCUAUCAGCCUCUUAACAUAGUUUAGACACUCAUUGACCUAAAUAUCAUCCAAGGAAAUCACUGCAUCCUCAUCCAAUAAGCACUUUCAUAGCUGCGAAACAUGGAAAGUGCUGUGAAUAUGACUGAGCUCCUCAGGUAGAUCCAACUUGUAAGUAACCUUGCCAACCCUAGCAAUCACUCGUAAAGGUCCAAUAUACAUAGGACACAACUUAACCCUCUUCCUGAAGCAUAUCACACCUUUCUAAGGUGAGGCCUUUAGUAAUACCAUAUCACUGACCUGAAACUCCAACUUGGAUCGGCGCCGGACGACAUAGCUUUUCUGCCAGCUCUGAGCUGUCUAUAGUCUCUUCCUAAUCUGCUGAAUAAGUUUUGUGGUCUGAAGGACUACUUCGGUCCUUCCC
rnacentral:lncRNA from 1 species